rnacentral:rRNA from 1 species
UACGUAGGAUCCGAGCAUUAUCCGGAGUGACUGGGUGUAAAGAGUUGCGUAGGUGGCAUAGUAAGUAGCUAGUGAAAUCUGGUGGCUCAACCAUUCAGACUAUUAGCUAAACUGCUAAGCUCGAGACCGUUAGGGGUAACUGGAAUUUCUAGUGUAGGAGUGAAAUCCGUAGAUAUUAGAAGGAACACCAAUAGCGUAGGCAGGUUACUGGGACGGUUCUGACACUAAGGCACGAAAGCGUAGGGAGCAAACGGG